rnacentral:lncRNA from 10 species
GUGGAAGCAGGCCGGGGCAGUAGAGGUCCUGAAAGCUGCUGUGCGACGCGGUCCUCGGACCUGGCCACCUGCCUCGCCCCGGCCGGGCCUGGCCUGCACUGGCCCGCACCGGCCCGCACCGGUCAGCACCGCCUCGCACCGGUCAGUACCGCCUCUCCGCUGUCCGCUCCUGCGCAGCCGUCCGCAGUUCCGCAUGCCACCGCCAGGUGUCGCUGCACACACGCCGUGGCCCCGAGGCUCCUCUGCAAGCCGCUCCGCGAGGCUCUAGGGGGCCCCCCAGGGUCCUGUUUCCCGCGGCCCGCAACUUAUCUGUGCACAGAGCACCCCCACGCUGCGCUAGGAACUUCCGCUGCUCCCCCACCACCUCACUCCUUCGUGCCUUUGAGCAUGCUGCCUGCAGUGCCUGCCCUGAUCUCCGGCUGGGUGAUUCCUGCUGCACGUCAAAACCCACUGGAGGCAACACCUCCUCCAGGAAGCCUUCCCUGAUGCCACUAUAAUGGCCCCUCUUGAGUUUCCACAGCCCCCUGUGUCUGCCUCAUCAUUGCAGUGACUGCCAACAUGGUUGUGUCUGUUUCUGU